AGGUUACUCUGUGGAUGGAAUCUUCUCUUGAGUUCUAUCCAGCACCAUCUGUGGACCUAUUGUACAAGAAAGUGAUUUUCAAAAUUGCUGUCAUUGGAAGAGCCAAUCUUUGGUCUGCAGCCAAAAUUUGUAGGAAAAAGGUAUUAUAAAGUCUUACCAUGAAACUGUCGUCCCUAACCCCUGGCCAUGGACCUGUACCAGGACAGGCUGCAGAGUUCCGCCCCUUGUCCCCCACGUCCUGUGGGCACAACCCAGA